rnacentral:tmRNA from 1 species
GGGGACGUUACGGAUUCGACAGGGAUAGUUUGAGCUCGGGUUGCACGUCGAGGUUACGGCUCGUAAAACGUUACUCGCCUAAAUAUAACUGGCAAAGAAAACAAUUACUCUUUAGCAGCUGCGUAAGUAGCACUAAAGGAUCCUUCCUGCGCUCGCCCGUGGGGCAGAUCGAAGGGUCUCAACUUUAAGCGGGCUAUACUGACAUCCACCGUCUGAGGAUAGCAGUUGAACCGAAUCAGACUAGCUCCACUGAAGCCUGUUGGUAGGCUGACGUGCGAGUGAAUGAUAAUAUACCAACUAUGCGUGUAGAAGCCUGAGUGCCGAUAUCUCUGGACGUGGGUUCGAUUCCCACCGUCUCCACU